CUAUCACUCAUCAGAAUUAAUAUGGUGAAUAUGGAGUUCAUCAUUAAAGGGAAUACUCAAAAGGGGUGACUCAUAGAUGAAUGUGAUAUCUCGGCGCCAUGAACAAUUUUCUUUAUUAGCUUGUUUCUGGCUGGGUGAAGAAAUAUUUUGCUAGUGGAUGACUUAAAUAAGUGAACAGAUUUAGUCAUUUAAAAAAAAUGUAAGUUAUUGUAAGGUAUUUAUUAUAUUUUUCCUGCUGAAUCAUACAGGCAAAGAGAGAGGAAAUUUUGUACUUGGUCUGCACGAUGAGUUUAUUUUUUUUCAUUCUCUGUUAUUAUUGAAGAUAUUUUAGUCAUGGAUUUGUCCCUUCCAAGAUAUUCUCUCCUCCUUCUUGAUCCUACAGUUUAAUCUGCAUAAUGCUAUACAUAUGAUAACUGUCAUGACUAUCUCUUGCCACAAAUUCAUCUUUAUUUCAGAGGAUCAAAUCUAAGGAGGCAUUACUUUGACUUUCUUUGCUAGUAGAAUACAGUAAUUUCUGCUAUUGUGGAUCCUUUAUUCAGGGACCAUUAUUCAGGGAUCAUUUCCAGCAAAUCACAUCUUCUGAAAGAAAAUGUGAUAUCAAUAGAUGUUUUUUCUGCAAUUUCUUCCUCCCAAGCCCCCUCAGAUUUCUUCUAGUAAAAGUGUAAAAUCUGUUGUAAAAAAAAGAAGAGAUGAAGAUAUAAUUGUCUGGGUGCUGGCUCAUUAUCCGCAAGUUCAUGUCAGGUUUAACAUCGUCAUAGCAGAUGAGGACUCACAGGAGAAUAUUACACGUGGUGAAGAUUCUAGGCAAAGUCACCUAAACCGUGGUUCUCUUCCUGAAGGAGACAACAAUGAGGGGAAGGACGGACAUCCCACAAGCACCUCUGUGGAUCGCCACCAUUACACACAUCAUGAAAUCACCACCCAAGCAAAACCAUUUUCCCCUCCAUGGUGGCAUUCUGUAAAUUCCAAGGAACAGCACCCGACAACUGCCAGUAACGGUAAAGAAUUUAUAUAAUUUCACCUAAGCAGCUUUGUUUAAAGUCUGUUGCUAAAGCUGAGUUGAAGGCAGCAUGGAAGUGUAAACCCUGCAUAUAUAUGAAGUGGCAGCCAAACAGCCUUUCUGAUACUAUGUUGGCUUCUUAUGUGUUCCCGGUUUCUGUUUCCAAUAAGAAUAACUCACUCUUUUACAUUCACUAUGUUUUCACCAGAACUAAUCUGUUAAAUCUUGAGGUCCUAAUUUAGUGCAUUUUUAUAUAGCAUGUGCAAAGGGCAAAGCUUAUUGGAAAAACACAAGUGAAAACAUGGAUACAAGAUAGCUAGCUGCUGCAGUGAUAAAAACAUUUAAAAUGUUCAUAAUAAUAAAUAUCUUGGCUUUAGAAUGUAGUUUAUUUUA
rnacentral:lncRNA from 1 species